AGUGAACGCUGGCGGUAGGCCUAACACAUGCAAGUCGAACGGCAGCACAGUAAGAGCUUGCUCUUACGGGUGGCGAGUGGCGGACGGGUGAGGAAUACAUCGGAAUCUACUUUUUCGUGGGGGAUAACGUAGGGAAACUUACGCUAAUACCGCAUACGACCUACGGGUGAAAGCAGGGGAUCUUCGGACCUUGCGCGAUUGAAUGAGCCGAUGUCGGAUUAGCUAGUUGGCGGGGUAAAGGCCCACCAAGGCGACGAUCCGUAGCUGGUCUGAGAGGAUGAUCAGCCACACUGGACAUGAGACACGGUCCAGACUCCUACGGGAGGCAGCAGUGGGGAAUAUUGGACAAUGGGCGCAAGCCUGAUCCAGCCAUACCGCGUGGGUGAAGAAGGCCUUCGGGUUGUAAAGCCCUUUUGUUGGGAAAGAAAAGCAGCAGGUUAAUACCCCGCUGUUCUGACGGUACCCAAAGAAUAAGCACCGGCUAACUUCGU
rnacentral:rRNA from 1 species